rnacentral:rRNA from 1 species
AGUGAACGCUGGCGGCAGGCCUAACACAUGCAAGUCGAGCGGCAGCGGGUCCUUCGGGAUGCCGGCGAGCGGCGGACGGGUGAGGAAUGCGUCGGAAUCUGCCUUUUUGUGGGGGAUAACGUAGGGAAACUUACGCUAAUACCGCAUACGACCUACGGGUGAAAGUGGGGGACCGCAAGGCCUAACGCAGAAAGAUGAGCCGACGCCGGAUUAGCUAGUUGGCGGGGUAAAGGCCCACCAAGGCGACGAUCCGUAGCUGGUCUGAGAGGAUGAUCAGCCACACUGGAACUGAGACACGGUCCAGACUCCUACGGGAGGCAGCAGUGGGGAAUAUUGGACAAUGGGCGCAAGCCUGAUCCAGCCAUGCCGCGUGUGUGAAGAAGGCCUUCGGGUUGUAAAGCACUUUUGUCCGGAAAGAAAUCCAAUCGAUUAAUACUCGGUUGGGAUGACGGUACCGGAAGAAUAAGCACCGGCUAACUUCGUGCCAGCAGCCGCCGUAAUAC